CCUUGUACACACCGCCCGUCAAGCCACGAAAGUUGGUAGUACCCGAAGUCAGUGUGCCAACCGUAAGGAGGCAGCUGCCUAAGGUAAGACCAGUGAUUGGGGCU
rnacentral:rRNA from 1 species